UACGUAGGGUGCGAGCGUUGUCCGGAAUUAUUGGGCGUAAAGGGCUCGUAGGCGGGUCUGUUGCGUCAGGAGUAGAAAACUCGGGGCUUAACCCCGAGCCUGCUUCUGAUUAACGGGCAGACUAGAGGUAUGCAGGGGAGAACGGAAUUCCUGGUGUAGGCAGGUGAAAUGCGCAGGAUAUCAGGAGGAACACCGGUGGCGAAGGCGGUUCUCUGGGCAUUACCUGACGCUGAGGAGCGAAAGUGUGGGGAGCGAACAGG
rnacentral:rRNA from 1 species